ACCCGCUGAAUUUAAGCAUAUCAAUAAGCGGAGGAAAAGAAACCAACAGGGAUUGCCCUAGUAACGGCGGGUGAAGCGGCAACAGCUCAAAUUUGAAAUCUGGCCUCACGGUCCGAAUUGUAAUUUGUAGAGGAUGUUUCUGGCGACGUGUCUUCCGAGUUCCCUGGAACGGGACGCCAUAGAGGGUGAGAGCCCCGUCCGGUCGUACACCUAGCCUCUGUGAAACUCCUUCGACGAGUCGAGUAGUUUGGGAAUGCUGCUCUAAAUGGGAGGUAUACGUCUUCUAAAGCUAAAUACCGGCCAGAGACCGAUAGCGCACAAGUAGAGUGAUCGAAAGAUGAAAAGCACUUUGAGAAGAGGGUUAAAUAGUACGUGAAAUUGCUGAAAGGGAAGCGCUUAUGACCAGACUUGGGCUCGGUGAAUCAUCCGGCGUUCUCGCCGGUGCACUUUGCCGUCCCAGGCCAGCAUCAGUUCGCGCCGGGGGAUAAAGGUUUCGGGAAUGUAGCUCCCUCGGGAGUGUUAUAGCCCGUUGCGUAAUACCCUGGCGUGGACUGAGGUCCGCGCUCUGUAAGGAUGCUGGCGUAAUGGUCAUCAGUGACCCGUCUUAACACGGACCAAGGAG
rnacentral:rRNA from 1 species